rnacentral:rRNA from 1 species
GUCUAUGAUCAUACCAACCUGAAUGUACCUGAUCUUGUCUGAUCUCAGAAGCUAAGCAGGGUUGAGAUGGGUUACUACUCAGAUGGGAGAUAUUUGCUUAAUUGCAGUAGUCU